UGAAACAAUUAACAAAAUAGAUAAAUCACUACCCUUUUAAUCAAGAUAAAAAGGAAAAGGAACACAAAUAUACAGAAUAAGAUGACCAGGGAGAAAUAAUUAUUAGUAUAGAGGAAAUUUCUGAAAUCAUUUGAGAAUAUUUUGUACUUCUCUAAUCAAAAAGAAUUAGAGAACUUAGAUGAAAUGGACAUAAUUAUUUUGGAAAAUGUACUUCACUGAAAUUGAUCCCAGUAGAGGUUUAAAAAAAAAAAGAUUUAGACCAGUUUCUGUAGAAGAAAAAAGAAGUCUGUCAAGGAGCUCCCACACAAAAAAUGCACUGGGCCCAAGUGAUUUCACGGGAGAAUUCUAUUAAAUCUUCAGAGAUCAGAGAAUCCCAAUGCCAUGCAAAUUGUUUUAGAGCAUAGAAAAUGAUGGAAAACUUCUAAUACUUACUUUUUAAUUAAAAAAAACCUUUUUUUA